GCUUUUAUAUGGCAGGGGGGUCACCAUGAUCAGGCAGGUGGUUUUCACAGGGCAAGGUUCAUCUCCUGCACUCUUGAUGUGUCGACUCCUGAAAUAUCCCCAAAUUUGGGAAAUUUGACUGCAUAAUUUUUGAUAAUGGGAGACUGCAUUCAUGCUAAA
rfam:Colius striatus contig82940, whole genome shotgun sequence.